rnacentral:rRNA from 1 species
CCUACGGGUGGCAGCAGUGAGGAAUAUUGGGCAAUGGACGAGAGUCUGAACGAGCCAAGUAGCGUGAAGGAUGACUGCCCUAUGGGUGGUAAACUUCUUUUAUAUGGGAGUAAAACAGGGUAUGCAUACCCUCUUGUAUGUACCUUAUGAAUAAGGAUCGGCUAACUCCGUGCCAGCAGCCGCGGUAAUCCGGAGGAUCCGAGCGUUAUCCUGAUUUAUUGGGUUUAAAGGGUGCGUAGGUGGUUUGUUAAGUUAGUUGUGAAAGUUUGCGGCUCAACCGUAAAAUUGCAGUUGAUACUGUCAGUCUUGAGUACAGUAGAGGUAGGCGGAAUUCGUGGUGUAGCGGUGAAAUGCUUAGAUAUCACUAAGAACUCCGAUUGCGAAGGCAGCUCACUGGACUGCAACUGACACUGAUGCUCGAAAGUGUGGGUAUCAAACAGGAUUAGAUACCCCGGUAGUC